UACGUAGGGGGCAAGCGUUGUCCGGAAUUAUUGGGCGUAAAGAGCGUGUAGGCGGCCAGAUAAGUCCGCUGUGAAAUCUCGAGGCUCAACUUCGAGCUGUCGGUGGAAACUAUCUGGCUAGAGUCCGGGAGAGGAGAGUGGAAUUCCUGGUGUAGCGGUGAAAUGCGCAGAUAUCAGGAAGAACACCCGUGGCGAAGGCGGCUCUCUGGGACGGUACUGACGCUGAGACGCGAAAGCGUGGGGAGCGAACAGG
rnacentral:rRNA from 1 species